CUGGGAGGUCAUUUAGUCCAACCCCUGCUCAUGCUGGAGGCCCUGGACCGUUUCUGGCAGGGACCAUUUUCUGAAGAAUAAAUGAUUCCCCGCCUGAGCCUGCACUGCCUGCCUUCCCUUCCCAGGAUCGGCAAAAAGAACCAACCGGCUAGUCCUCAGUUUUACGACCAUGCCGUAGCUCCAAAAUUUUCGCAGCUCGGUUAGACUUGAGUUUUGGUCCAUUUUGCGACCUUCCCGUUAAGUGAACCACCGCUGUUCAGCGAGUCACCUGGUGGCUAAGCGAAUCCAGCUUCCUGCCCGUUGAGCCGGUCGCAAAAGGGGAUCGCAGUGACCAUCAUAAAUUGGGAGUCGUUGGCCAAGUCUCUGAAUUUGUGGAUGCUGCAACCGUCGUAAGAGUGAAAAAACGGUCAACUCACUUUUUGAGCGCCCUUGUAACUUGUUCAGAGAUAAUCCUCGACUUAAUGAUUCCUUGAUGGGGCCAAAUCCGGCAUCCCAUCAUUUCACUCUGGAUUGUAAAUAGAAGUUGUCCUUCUCUUAACAAUUGAAGCUAUAACGGAACCGGAAGAAAGACGUAGAGGUCAUCUAGUCCAACCCCCUGCUCAAGCAGGUGGCCCUUAGAGAAAAACACAGUUGGAAGGGGCCUCGGAGGUCAUCUAGUCCAACCCCCUGCAGGAGGCCCUUACAGAACCAUAACGGGAUUAGAAGGGAUCUUAGAGGUCAUCUCCAGCCCCAAGUGUUUGGAACAUCUUGGUAAUCUGUCCAGUAACCAACUCCAGAAGGAUUUGUUUAAUUUAG